CCCGUGACGUCAGCGCGCAGCGUCACGCCGGGAGGGACGCAUGAAAGUUUGUCAAGCAGCAACCACCCAAACUGCAUCCUCUGUACCAAAAGCCAUCUAAGGAAGCCCAGCAGAUGGUCUAGCUGCUGUGAAACAAAGAGUUGCUUUCAUUCUUAAAUUUGUUUCCUCAGCUCUUUUCAUUUGGUAACUCUGUAAUAGAACAUUUGACCUUUACAAAGAUCAAAAUGUAAAUAAUGUUCUUUUCAUGUUGUUCUUUAGCAACCAUUUAAAAAGUCAAAUAACAUUAAAGUCCUUUUUUACUUUUAAAA